CGCCUAGCACACUCCAAUCCUCUUGCCAUCAACAAGCCGCCUCCAAUACUGAAUGAUCUCUUCCUGUAUCUCCCUCUCAGUCUUUUUAUCUACUUUCUUCCCUUCAGCAUUCUCAAGUUCUCCACUAGCUGUAGCAGAUUUGGUGGAAGUACGGAUAGGAAGUGAGUCCAUUUCCUGCAAAACUUGCUCAAUGUUCGAGCUAAGUCUUUUGGCUAGACUCCGGCUGAAAUCCUCCCUGACCACCACCCGAAGAACAGCAAUGUGCUUGGCAUCUGCUGGCAUCGUGUAUGCUGGAAUAAUCCAGCCAAACCU
rnacentral:misc_RNA from 1 species